CGACUUCCAUUUCCCUAAGAGCAACUUUAUGUUUCUUUUCCUUCCGAACCCAUCAAAGCCUCCUCCUCCUUCAAAACCCUUCCAAAUUCCCAAACACCCUCCAUUGCCAUCUCCACUGCAAAUUUCUUCGAUAACCAGAUCCAGCGGAUGAGGCAAUAUCUUGAGGUUAGACACGACGACGGGCAUCAAUUGGCGCAACAAUCUUGGUUCUUGGGUAAUCCCUAAGGCUAUAUAAGAGCUGAGGUAUUUAUAUAUCACAACAUAUUGAUAGCUGUUGUGAUCCUGCUUUUGUGUGGCUGUUUUUGGAAAUGCUUGAUAGCUUCUUUGACUACAGAACCAUCUGCCCAAGCCUUCAGUUUUUGUUUCCAUCGUUCACCUUCUUCGUUGCCUUCUUCUUUCCAUCCGCUUCCAUUGUUCACCUGUUUCCU